GAGCGGGUGUGACUCCCGUCUGGGUAAGCGUUAGCCACGCGCCCAGUAUCGAGUGUUGCAGCUUGCCUGGUAACAGGUCGGUUGAAGUGUACACAGAAAGGUAGUGAGGGUGAAAGGCACAGGUUGGUCUACCUGGCCCUGAAUGGUA
rnacentral:sRNA from 1 species